rnacentral:rRNA from 1 species
UACGUAGGGGGCGAGCGUUGUCCGGAUUUAUUGGGCGUAAAGAGCGUGUAGGCGGCCAGGUAGGUCUGCUGUGAAAACUCGAGGCUCAACCUCGAGACGUCGGCGGAAACCAUCUGGCUAGAGUCCGGAAGAGGAGAGUGGAAUUCCUGGUGUAGCGGUGAAAUGCGCAGAUAUCAGGAAGAACACCCGUGGCGAAGGCGGCUCUCUGGGACGGUACUGACGCUGAGACGCGAUAGCGUGGGGAGCGAACAGG